rnacentral:lncRNA from 1 species
UUUGAAACUCAUCGCCUCCGCCCCGCUUGUCCUUGUUUUUCUUUUAUUUCUCAUAUGUCCCACUCACAUAUGGGUCCAUUCUGACAAUCAGGCUUUCUUUUACUUCUCAUAUGUCCCACCGACAUAUGGGUCCAUUGUAACAAUCGGUCUUUCUUUAGUUUCUUAUAUGUUCCACCGACAUAUGGGUCCAUUCUAACAAUUGGGCUUUCUUUAAUUUCUUAUAUGCUCCACUGACAUAUGGGUCAUUUCUCAUAUGUCCCACUGACAUAUGGGUCCAUUCUGACAAUCGAGCUUUCUUUUAUUUCUCAUAUGUUUCACUGACAAUCAGGCUGCACAUAUGUCAUCCGGCAGAAAUACGAGAUACUAAUGUAACAUGUACAGUUAGGAUUGGCGUUCCAAUCUCAAGGACCAUAUUAACCACGUACUUUCGUGUACUGAGACUGUGUUGAAGGAAUGAGACUGUAUUGAAGCAAUAUACACGUUUCAACAUCAAAUUGGAUGUCGCCAAUGAGUACGACGACCAUAGAUGCAGUUAUCUCACUUUUUUCUCAAUCCUGUGUGCCACUAAUUCUUUUUGUUUUCAGCACACAUCUUGUUUGACAUCAUCUUCACAUGAGGGACCCACAUAAUGGCUAAGUCAACAAAAAUAUUAAGCGCAUUUUCAAUGUAAAUCACCAAAUCUCUGCUCUCAAAUAUCCAUGGCUACGUCUGGACGUGUCUGCGGACAUUUGGUGGACGCCCGUCAGCCAACUGUGAUCAACAAAUAUGCCUCCAUUUUAAAUGGUGUGAAAACGAAAUACAGCCAAGAAUAAAUAAAGUAUGUCAUAUUACAUGCAAGCCAACCAAAUUUAACACGUAUAACUUAAAUGAAACUUAAACUAAACCAAAACUAAUCUACAUGAGCCUAGGUAGCGGAUGGUGACCUCGCAGGCAUGGUAUCCAAGGCCAUCGGCGCCACUGUGGUUUGCGUUGAGACAUCGUUCCGCCACUUGAGGUAGUUUAUUAUCUCACAACCUAUUGAAGUAAUAGAGCACCUUAACUAUUGGGCAACAAUAGAGCACCUUAUUUAUUAUCUCAUAUUUUAUUGAAUAAACUAGAGUACAGUAUAUUAAAGUAGUUAUAUGUUAAAGUAUUAAUUGAUGACAAUGACAUAUUUUACCAACAAGCUAACCAACAAACCGUUGAAAAUGUCUUAGGACAGCUUUGCCCCAUAGAGACAUUUUUUUGUCUCCAAGGAGGAUGACACGCGUUCAAGCCACCCCCUUGGAGGUAGUAAUCAGCGUAGUACUGUUUCGGCCGGGACGAAGACCGCUCUUUGAGGACGGCCACCAAACGCUAUUGGGUAUCAUGGUGGUGAGGAUGGCUGCACGCAAAUACUAAGGCUGCAUAGAGGCGGCAUUGGCUAUUCCUUGAGAGGUGUCUGAUAUGGACAACGUUGUCGCACGAGGGGACCCUUGUGCCAAACUGUGGUCAAUCAACAAGCAACGCAAUACGAUCUCCAUGUGUCAUGCAAACUUGUCAGCCGACACCGCCGCUAGGGCGAAUUCUCCUCCUCCUUGUCCCAGACCGGCACUUCAUUCAUGUCGGACAAGGCUUUGGACAAAGACGGCCCGACGAUAAUACUCGGUUGCGCAAAGUGGAUCCGGGGUCCUGGUACGGCACAUGCUGGUCAGGGCGAUAGUCGUCGAACAACCAUCACGUCUAGGUCUUCUUGGUGCCGGUCUCGUUGCCAAUUGUGUUGGUUGGUGAUGGGGGCG